rnacentral:rRNA from 1 species
UGAGAAGUGUACAGGUCUCCGUAGGUGAACCUGCGGAGGGAUCCAUAGCAAUCGUAAACAAACAUGUCGGUCAAUAAAAAGCGAGGGGGGACGCCCUUUCCACCGACCCUCCUUGGCUAGGGCUGGCCGUCCCAGCGGCGCGCCAGACCCAGGCCUCACUGCCACGGUACCGUGGUGCCCUGCAACCCCCGGGAGAACGUUGUCCCACACGGGGCGCGCAGGACCCAAGCACCCGGUACGGGCUUACGGCUGGACGGACACCACCCAAGCGGGUGGCUCGGCCGUCCAGCCGGAAGCUGGGGCCUCAACCACACGCAGCCAUUCGGCGGUGGCCCAUUCACGAAUGGCCCACCAACACCCGCUGGCUGUGGAGCCCCGCCGCCGCUAUACUACAUUCACAACAAUCAUCCUCAGAAUCAACCUGUGUGUGUGCCUUGAGCGUCUAGCACGCCAAGCAAGCUAACUGAAAGUAACACUGUACAAUGGAUUUCUUGGCUCCCACAUCGAUGAAGAACGCAGCAAAGCGCGAUAGGUAGUGUGAAUUGCAGAAUUCCGUGAAUCAUCGAAUUUUUGAACGCACAUUGCGCUCAAGCCUUCGGGCUUGAGCAUGUCUGCCUCAGCGUCGUUUCAAAUGGCUUGCCGUCCGUGACCCUUGCCACUCCCUUCAGGGACGGCAUGGGUUUAAGCCGUGACCUCCGGCGCGUCCGUCCAUCCGUGGGCGGCGUGCGGCAGCGGCCACUCCGGCACUGCUCAUCGUAAGCAUGCUGCAUACCGUGGCACAACAAUGCUCUACCAUGGGCCCUGCUGGUUGGUUGAUGAUGUAGUUUUGUGGGGCCUUGUGCUUGCUCGCAGGCUGUGCUCUCUCUCUCCAUCAUCAGCUGGACCCCCUGGCUGCGCAACACACCAUUCGACCUGAGUUUAGGCAGGGUACCCGCGAACUAAGCUCUAU